GGGUAUAUAGCUCAACGGUUAGAGCGCUUGAUUCACAUUCAAGAGGUUGAAGGUUCGAAUCCUUCUAUGCCCA
rnacentral:tRNA from 1 species